rnacentral:rRNA from 1 species
GACGAACGCUGGCGGCGUGCCUAAUACAUGCAAGUUGAGCGCUGAAGGUUGGUACUUGUACCAACUGGAUGAGCAGCGCACGGGUGAGUAACGCGUGGGGAAUCUGCCUUUGAGCGGGGGACAACAUUUGGAAACGAAUGCUAAUACCGCAUAAAAACUUUAAACACAAGUUUUAAGUUUGAAAGAUGCAAUUGCAUCACUCAAAGAUGACCCCUCGUUGUAUUAGCUAGUUGGUGCGGUAAAGGCUCACCAAGGCGAUGUUACAUAGCCGACCUGAGAGGGUGAUCGGCCACAUUGGGACUGAGACACGGCCCAAACUCCUACGGGAGGCAGCAGUAGGGAAUCUUCGGCAAUGGGCGGAAGUCUGACCGAGCUACGCCGCGUGAGUGAAGAAGGUUUUCGGAUCGUAAAACUCUGUUGGUGGAGAAGAACGUUGGUGAGAGUGGAAAGCUCAUCAAGUGACGGUAACUACCCAGAAAGCGACGGCUAACUACGUG